UGGGGAAUUUUCCGCAAUGGGCGCAAGCCUGAUCCAGCCAUGCCGCGUGAGUGAUGAAGGCCCUAGGGUUGUAAAGCUCUUUCAACGGUGAAGAUAAUGACGGUAACCGUAGAAGAAGCCCCGGCUAACUUGGUGCCAGCAGCCGCGGUAAUACGAAGGGGGCUAGCGUUGUUCGGAAUUACUGGGCGUAAAGCGCGCGUAGGCGGAUUGAUCAGUCAGGGGUGAAAUCCCGGGGCUCAACCCCGGAACUGCCUUUGAUACUGUCAAUCUAGAGAUCGAGAGAGGUGAGUGGAAUUCCGAGUGUAGAGGUGAAAUUCGUAGAUAUUCGGAGGAACACCAGUGGCGAAGGCGGCUCACUGGCUCGAUACUGACGCUGAGGUGCGAAAGCGUGGGGAGCAAACAGGAUUAGAUACCCGCGUAGUCC
rnacentral:rRNA from 1 species